rnacentral:rRNA from 1 species
UACAGAGGUCUCGAGCGUUGUUCGGAUUCAUUGGGCGUAAAGGGUGCGUAGGUGGUCGUGUAAGUCGGAUGUGAAAUCCCGGGGCUCAACCCCGGAACUGCAUUCGAUACUGCGUGGCUUGAGUACUGGAGAGGAGAUCGGAAUUUACGGUGUAGCAGUGAAAUGCGUAGAUAUCGUAAGGAAGACCAGUGGCGAAGGCGGAUCUCUGGACAGUUACUGACACUGAGGCACGAAGGCCAGGGGAGCAAACGGG